AUGGCGGCGAUGUUCCGGCGCCUGGGCCUUGACCCGGCUGAGGUGGAGGGCUUCCUCGCCCGCGUCCUCUCCUACACCCACUACGCCCUCCCAGAGCCGCCCGUGACGGCCGACGCUCGCCUCUUCGCUCUCCUCCCCGGUGACUCCGUCGACCGCGUCAGCCGCCUCCCCGACGCGCUCCUCGGCUACAUCGUCUCCCCCAUCCCCAUCAAGGAUGCCGCGCGCACCGUGGCGCUCUCCCGGCGCUGGCGCGGGGUCUGGCGCUCCGCCCCGCUCGUCAUCGUCGACACUCACAUCCACCCCGCGGGCAUCGCAUACGCGCAGCUCGUCACCUGCGCCGUCUCCCACGUCCUCGCCGCGCACCCGGGCCCUUUCGCUGCGAGCCCCGUGCUGGAGACGAUGUGUCUCGAAGGGGAGAUGUUCGAGCAUUGCAUCCGCCUUGUCAACCAAAGCCUGUGGCGCGUGCAGAUCAUCGGGUGCUGGGUUGAAGAAAUCUUCGUGGUGGACGCGCCAUGCCUUGAGCGGCUCAUCCAGUCGGGAGGCUGGAGCCCUGAAGACCAUGAUGGCAACCGCACCAAGGUGAUGAUUGGCCAUGCCCCCAAGUUGCACAUGUUAGGAUACUUGGAGUUGGACCCAGGACACGUCCUAGAGGUCGGCAACACCAUCAUCAAGGCUGGGACAAGGGUGAGCCCGAGCACCAUGGUACCAAGUAUGGGGAUCCUGGCUUUGGAGGUGCGUUUCAGAGUCCGCAACGAUGCCAAGAUGGUUCCCAAUGUCCUCAGAGUGCAUUCGGUCGCGCAUCAAGCUGCUAGUUUCCAUGAUUUCCGAGGGGGCCGAGCUGAGCUCGCCUUCGUCAAAUACUUCUUUGAGUCUGCAUUGGUGCUGAAGAAGGUGGUGAUUCUGUUCACCGUUGGCUUCUCUUCGAUGAAGGAGGCGCAGUCCAAACUGUCGAGUCUGGGGUCAGUGAAACGGGCCAGUGAAACCUCUACAGUGCUGGUCAACGUACCUUCUGAUCCUCAAGUAGGUUCCAUUCGGAGCUUCAAAAUAGGAUCCGGUUUUUCUGCUGACGACCCUUUUGCAAACUACUGA
rnacentral:rRNA from 1 species